rnacentral:tRNA from 1 species
AUAAGAAUAGUAAAAAUACACAGGUUUAAGCCUACAUGGAACUAAGAUAUUCCUUCUUAUA